UUCGAUACGAGAAAUCGUCGGGAUUUGAGAUUAUUGAUGAUCCUACUUCACCUGAUGAUCCUCACGCUCUUAUUUCGCUAUCUGGACUUUAACACAAGAUCACGAAUAUGAGACGAUAAAGACAAAUUCCGGUUACAAAUACAGGCGCUGCGUCAAACCGUGGUUCACUAAUGCCUUUGAAAUCGGCGAGGUUUUAUUUCUGCUGUGGGGUGUUUGGCUUUGUAUCCGUGUACGAAAUGCUCCCUCGGCGUACAACGAGA